AGAUGACCAGGCUGCAGCAGCAGUAUGAGAAGCUCCUGAACAAGAAAAUCAGGCUGCAGCAGAAAAACAAACAGCUCAAGAACCAGAAAACCAGGCAGCAGGAGGAGAUAGAGGAGCUCCUGAACCAGGCAGCAGGAGGAGAUAGAGGAGCUCCUGAACCAGAAAAUCAGGCAGCAGGAGGAGAUAGAGGAGCUCCUGAACCCGG